ACUUUUUUUUUUCUCAACAAAAAAUCCUAGGUGUUCCUCAAAAAAAUUAUUCUUUGGUGUUCCUAGGUCUUAAAAAAUUUAAGAAACACUGCCUCAGACUGUGACCUGAACAACCACUUGCAACUCAAUAGCCAAUGCUUGCUUUCCUCCAGAUUCAGGGUGCCAUGAGAAAUCUGUUCACUGAAAAGACAGAAAAGCCAAGAUGUACAGCAAAAAUGAACAAGUAAGAUGGGGGUCCUACGUAUUCAAACACUAAUGAGAAGAUCGCCACCCGACUGCUGUGACAGUGCAUCUCUUCAGGGAACCAUUUGUAAAGAGGGUAGUUGGAGAUCUGGUUUACUUUAAAACAAUGAAGUGGGCAGAAUCCCCUGAGGUAAAUUUAUUGAGUACUGGGAGGUCCUGAUGACACAACUGAACUGGCACCAAAUCAAUAAAAACAGAACUGAAGAAAAAAAUAAUUAAAACAUUCUGUCAAAAAAGAGAGAGAGCAGUAAU